CGAGGGCGCCAGACGAUCGCAGGCAUUUAUGUCUGAGGAAAGUCCGAGCACCGCAGGGCAGGAUGCCGGUUAACUGCCGGUGGAGGCGACUCCAAGGAAAGUGCAACAGAGAUAUACCGCCUGUGGCUUCGGUCAUGGGUAAGGGUGGAAAGGCGAGGUAAGAGCUCACCCGCGGCCUGGCGACUGGUUCGCGCUGUAAACCCCAUCCGGUGCAAGAUUGAUUGUAAAGCAAUGUGGCUGCCCGUCACGCUUUCGGGUAAUCGCUUGAGCCUUAUGGCAACUUAAGGCCUAGACAGAUGAUCGUUUAAUACAGAACUCGGCUUACAGACGCCGCUCGCAUC
rnacentral:RNase_P_RNA from 1 species